GCCCAGCACCGAAUCCUUCACCGUAUUGGUGACAGGAAAUGUGGUGUUUAGGCCGUACCUUGUGCUGAUACGUCUCUCCUCAAGUCCACUUGAUUGUGGCCUCAGGCCCAGAGAGGGUGUAAGGCCCGUGGAGGCGAGAUGUUCAGUACCCGGUGCGUCCUUAGAGUCGGGUUGUUUGGGAAUGCAGCCCUAAGCGGGUGGUAAACUCCAUCCAAGGCUAAAUACUAGCACGAGUCCGAUAGCGAAGAAGUACCGCGAGGGAAAGUUGAAAAGAACUUUGAAGAGAGAGUUCAAGAGUACGUGAAACCGCUGAGAGGCAAACUGGUGGAGCUGAAAUGGCUUAGAGGAAUUCAGCCGUUGGGUAUUGUCAUAACUGUGUUGUGUCUGAUCUAACGACAGCGCGGCCGGUUAACGUCGAUUCCAUAGGUGCACUUUCCUCUCUAGCCCAACCACGACCGGUAUAGUGUGAUUGUCCGUCUCAUCUGGAAGGUAGCGCUGGCUACGGUGAGCGUAUUAUAGACAGAUGUAUGGAGCGAUUCGUGUACUGGAACAUAACGCCUGCCCUCAUUGGGCUCAUAUGUUGGUUGUUUUGUGAAUAAUCUCUGAUUUCACUACUUCGGUAGAGGAGUUGGAAUUGUUUGCCUUACGAUCGGCCUCUAUGAUUGGCGUUGAUACAGUCUGUGGUUGCGAAGUAGGUAGUCCACCUGACCCGUCUUGAAACACGGACCAAGGAGUCUAACAUGUGCGCGAGUCAUUGGGUUCUACGAAACCUAAAGGCGCAGUGAAGGUAAAGAUUCACAGUGGUGAAUUGAGGUGGGAUAUUGGGUUGCGUGCUCAAUCGCACCACCGGCCCGUUCCAUUUGUAUCUCAAAGGAGCGGAGCAAGAGCGUACACGUUGGGACCCGAAAGAUGGUGAACUAUGCUUGCGCAGGACGAAGCCAGAGAACUCU
rnacentral:rRNA from 1 species